GACAGAGGGGGCAAGCGUUGCUCGGAAUUACUGGGCGUAAAGGGCGCGUAGGCGGGAUGGCAAGUCGGUCGUGAAAUCCCUCGCUCAACCGAGGAACGUCGAUCGAUACUGCUGUUCUUGAGGAUUGCAGAGGAGACUGGAAUUCCCGGUGUAGCGGUGAAAUGUGGUAGAGAGUCGGGAGGAACACCGGUGGCGAAGGCGGGUCUCUGGGCAAUU
rnacentral:rRNA from 1 species